CGACAGAGCAAAAAAAAUAAAAAAUAAAAAUCCAUCAUCCCCGCGGCGACUUUUCCUCUCCACCGUAUCCUCCUCCUCCCCUGUGCCGCCCUGCCCUAUCUCAAGCUCCGAUCCACCGUGCCCUAGACCUGCCGCCGAACGUGCCCUAGCCACCGCCGGCGCCCCCCGCGCGCGGUCGCCGUCUCCGCCCUACCUCGCCGCGCCCCCGCCCCCGUCCCGCCCGCAGCCUUCGUUUCCGAGAUCCGCCUCCGAUCUGCUCGGCGGCAGGCGCUGUUGCUGUCGUUGUUGAAGGAGGAGGAGGAGGAGAGGGAGCCCUAGACUCCUAGGGCAAGGCCGAAGCAGAUGGGGGCACCGAAGCAGAAGUGGACGGCGGAGGAGGAGGCGGCGCUCAAGGCCGGGAUAGGCAAGCACGGGGCCGGGAAAUGGCGCACCAUACUCAAGGACCCCGAGUUCAGCAACAUCCUGCGCUACCGCUCUAACGUUGACCUCAAGGACAAGUGGCGGAACAUGAAUGUCACGGUGAACGCGUCGGGCACUCGCGACAAAGUGAGGACGACGACCACGACGACACCCACGGCUAAGAAGCCGAGGUCUGCUCCGAAGCAGGAAAACCACCCGACGGCGAUCACCACCAUCACCUCCGACGGCGAUGAUGACGUCAUCGACGUGAAGCCUAUCAUAAAGCCUAUUGUGACGUUUACUACAGGUUCAGGGAAUAAAUCGCUAUCCAGGCUAGAAAAUAUCAUACUGGAGGCCGUGAAGACCUUGAAUGAGCCUACAGGGUCAUACAAAACAGCCGUUGCUAAUUACAUAGAGGAACAAUACUGGCCACCUGCUGAUUUUGAUCAUGUACUGUCUGCAAAACUGAAUGAGUUGACAUCAUCUGGGAAAUUGAUGAAGGUGAAUCGGAAGUACAGGAUAGCCCCUAGCUCGUCCUUUUUAGAAGGGCGAAGCUCCAAAAUGCUGCUGCUUGAUGAUAUAAAAAAGGAGCCAACCAAGGUAGAGAAGGUAGAGCGGGAUGGCUUUACAGCCCACACCAAAUCUCAGGUAGAUGCUGAACUUGCACGGAUGAGAAACAUGAGCGCAGAAGAGGCUGCAGCUGCAGCAGCUCGUGCGGUUGCUGAGGCAGACGCUAUCAUGGCGGAAGCUGAAGCCGCAAUGAGGGAAGCGGAGGCUGCAGAAGCUGAUGCUGUAGCUGCACAAGCCUUUGCGGAAGCAGCAAUGUUGACAUUAAAAAACAGGAGUUCCGCAAAAUUGAUCAUUCGAGGUUGACACAUCUUGUGGGACCUGCUUCAGUGUCCGCUUUCCUCUGACCUUGUUGUGCGCGCGUGCAUCUUUGCUGAAUUCCAGCGCAAACUAACUGAUGCUUUGGUGUUACUGGAGCCAUCGAGCUGAUGGCAAUGCUGAUCUGUUAUUUUAAUCCAUGCAAGCUCAUCCCAGAUUCAAGCAGCGCAAACUUGCUUGGUUUUCUGACUUGCACCUUGAAGCUAGUUACCUUUCUCCCUCAUGCCGGUUUGCCGAGGGAUGGAGGAAGACAAACUCAUAUUUAACUCCCACAUUACAGAGACGUAAAUGUGAUCUGCACGGGCUGUGGGAUGAUGAGAAGCUGAAUAAAUACAGAUGAUGGUCAUUCCAUCUUUCUGGACCCUUGUUGCUGUCAUGGUUUAGGUCACUGCCAUGUUGGAAUUUUAUUCACCAUGUGUUGGAUUACCUUACCUUCCUUUUGCGGCGAAUCUUCCGAAUGAACGGUGCCUUUCAGUUUGCCGCUUGUCUGUCUGGUCUGCCCCAGGCCAAGGUAUUUGGUACAGAAUAAUCACAGCGUCUAUAGAAUUCAUUCAUGUUUUCAGUCUGUAUAAGUUUGCCAAGCCAAAAUAGUUGGCAACAUAACAUGUUUUGGCAGGCCGAAUUCACCCAAUAUUUAUCUUGGUAUUGUACCGGUGCUUGGAAAAAACGCAGUUGUACAUUUGGUGAUCCAACGUCUACCAAUCUUUGAUAUCGGUGAACUUGGGUGGCAUGUGCGUCUUGGUUCAACCCAAAGUUUCUUGGAAUUGUACAAAGCGCACACAUGCUUUUUCAAUCCGUGUGAUUGUUU
rnacentral:rRNA from 1 species